GCAGCAAUGACCGAGUGGUUAAGGUGGCAGACUUAAGUAUACGGAAUCUAGCGUGCAUUCUUGACCUCUGCUGGCGCAAGCCGCGCAGGUUCGAACCCUGCUUGCUGCA